rnacentral:rRNA from 1 species
AUUGAACGCUGGCGGCAUGCUUUACACAUGCAAGUCGAACGGGCUUGGGUGCUUGCACCUAAGUUAGUGGCGAACGGGUGAGUAAUGCAUCGGAACGUACCGUGUAGUGGGGGAUAACCCGGCGAAAGUCGGAUUAAUACCGCAUACGAUCUAAGGAUGAAAGAAUGGGAUCGCAAGACCUUGCGCUAUACGUGCGGACGAUGUCGGAUUGGCUAGUUGGUAGGGUAAAGGCAUAUCAAGGCAACGAUCCGUAGCGGUGAGGAGAGGAUGGUCCGCCACGCUGGGACUGAGACACGGCCCAGACUCCUGCGGGAGGCAGCAGUGGGGAAUUUUGGACAAUGGGCGAAAGCCUGAUCCAGCCAUGCCGCGUGAGUGAAGAAGGCCUUCGGGUUGUAAAGCUCUUUUGUCCGGGAGCAAAUCCUGUUCACUAAUACUGGGCGGGGCUGAGAGUACCGGAAGAAUAAGGACCGGCUAACUACGUGCCAGCAGCCGCAGUAA